rnacentral:rRNA from 1 species
UACGUAGGUGGCAAGCGUUAUCCGGAUUUACUGGGUGUAAAGGGCGUGUAGGCGGGGAAGCAAGUCAGAUGUGAAAACCACGGGCUCAACCUGUGGCCUGCAUUUGAAACUGUUUUUCUUGAGUGCUGGAGAGGCAAUCGGAAUUCCGUGUGUAGCGGUGAAAUGCGUAGAUAUACGGAGGAACACCAGUGGCGAAGGCGGCUUACUGGACUGUAACUGACGUUGAGGCUCGAAAACGUGGGGAGCAAACAGG